ACAUGCCUUGAGCUAAGGGGGCGGGAUUGUUAGGAUCUGUUUGUCUUAUGGGCCAAAACUCUUACAUGUUUUAUGGGCUUAGUAGACUUUAUGACCAUCUUAUAUAAGCUACUGAGUUGUACUAGAGGACUAUCAUUGAAGAAUAUUGAAGUUUUCAUUUACUUAUUUCCUUUAGUUUUCUUUAGCUUCCUUCGUUUACAAUGCCAUUUUCCGGUUAUGAUCCCGUGGAUCGUAACAUUGAUUAAAGUUGUUCUACUUUGUUUUUGCCAUGAAAGCAUAUUUGCUUUAUUGCUGUUUAUCAAUUGAUGUGGCACAUAGUUGUAGUUGUGGUUCGAGCUAUUUGCAAUCCAGAUUUCUUUUCUUCUUUGAAGUUGGAUUUUCACUGUGUGCAUUUUAAUUAUUCCAAGUUUGGUAGUUCUCAUAUUGGCUCUUUGGUGUGUGCCAUCGGUCUACCCAAUGAUGGGUUUCUGGGUUACCAUGUUCUUCCGUUAUUGGCAAAUUAAUACCUACCGCAGUUAACAGCUAAUUUCUACCUCAUAUGUAUGCCAUGUGUAUGGUGAAUGAUAUGGUGGUGAUUUGUUUCUUUUUAAUAUCGCUUUUUAGUCGAGUGUUUCUUUCAUUUUAUUAUAAAUUGUAAUAUCAGGAGCACCUUUGAUUUGAAUGGGCUAUGUACCAUUUAGUUAUUGUACCAGUAAUUUUUAACACGUUCCAAGUAUUAACUGGGGUUGGACUUGCAGAACUUGUGUUUUAUUUAUGCAAUUGCAGCUGUGUUUUUUUACUUAUAUGUUUCUUUCAUAUUGUCGUGCAGUUAACAACUCCAAGUCAUCAAUCAAGUUAUCAGCGGACUUACCAAUAAAGGCCAGAUUUCCCAAUAAAGCCUCUUGCUCUGGCUUACAUUUUAUGUUCAAGCGGCUACCUGAACUAAAUGUUGCAGCUUUUUUAGCCGGGAGUAUAUAUUAAGAGGAAGGUCCCCUUCUGACUUUAUUUGUGUUGGUGAAUAUGAGAGGUAUGGAAGGCACUUCUGCUAGAAAGAGAAGAAACAGGAGUUUAUCCCCCCCGGCCUCUAAAUCCUAUUCAUCACUUGAAAACAUCAAAAACUUCAUCAUCAAGUUCAGCAGCAUCAAGAAGAUCACCAUCAAAACUGAUGACUGCUAAUAUUGAAAAUCUUCCCGAACAUGUUUUGGUUGAAAUUCUCUGUCGACUUCCUUGCUAUAAAUUCGUCUCUCAAUGCAAGUCUGUGUCCAAACGUUGGUGCACUCUCAUGUCAAAUCCUUCUUUCAUUGGCCGCUUCCUGUGCCUGCAAAUGGAAAGGCCAAUAAUACGUACCAUGAUAAACGCUGAAGGGGUGGAAUUCCUUAACAAGACUUCAUCAUUGUCCAAGCCACUAACUCCUUUGUUCAGAAGACUGAUGAGUAUCUACAGUUUGGAGAAAGAGCCAAUUGUGGUUGGUACAUACAAUGACUUGGUUCUGUGUUGUGCAACCGAGUAUGAACAACGUGAUUACUGCAUCUGCAAUCCAUACACAAUCCAAUGGGCUGAACUUCCUCCCCCGCCUCGAGUAUACGAGUACACACCUGUGGGAUUAAUCUGCGAUCUUCCCUAUUAUAACAGUAAGUCAGGUGAUCAGGAAUCAGGAGAUACCAUCAAGCUUAAUUCAGAGUAUAGGUGCAGGGUUGUGAGAAUUAUUUUUUCCCCUGAUCAGGAAUUUUCCUGCACAUUGGGAGUGCAGAUCUUCUCUUCUGAGACGGGUGAAUGGACAGAAUCAAUCGUAUUCCCCCCAACUGCCGUUAGGUAUGAGUCCAUUGAUCCCAGCAUUAGCUUUGCUUGCAACAGAAUGUUGUAUUGGAUGGGUCGUCGUUGAAAUUUUUUUAUUUUUGGGUUGGAUCCAUUCAUGUUCAACAGUAGUAAGAAUAGUACUAGCAUUAGUACUAAUGGGAAUAAUACUAUUGAUCGCUGUAAAUGUCGAUUGAUUGAAUUUGAUAACUGUGGGUGUGAAAUACUUCGGUGCGUAGGAGUCCAUAGAGGGUGUUUGUGCAUGUCCGAGUACGACUUUGUCAGCCGUGCUGUAUUUGUUGCCGUGCUGUAUUUGUUGCGGAUCUUAUUGUAGGAGAACAAGGUGGUUGGAUGGUCAAGUGUCAUGGAGGAACUUCCAGAUUAUGUAUAAAAGACAUGGUGAGGAUUUAUUCACUGGAUGAAGAAAAAAUGGAUUUGCAGAUUGAUGAAGAAAAUUUGUGUAUAUUGCUAGCUUUUGACCCAGACGAUGAUGAUAUCUUUUAUCUGCGGGUAGAUGAGGACAUUUUCAUGCGCAACAUUUUUACAAGUGAAUGGUCAAAGGUAGCAGAAAAGAGUCCAAUUGAUAGUCCUUUCUUCUACCCAUUUGUGCUCCCAUGGUGGCCAACACCAGUUCCUAGACUACCGCAACAUGCACAACCAAGCGGGGACAACCUCUAAUUCUCCCUUGGUAGGUAUUUGACUGGCAUCAGAGUAUUGAAGUUUUCAGGGGGUCAAUCUGACGGAAGGCAGACUUGUGUGAUUUCUGUAUUAUUUGUUUUUGCAUUUUUUAAAAUUCAUAAAUGCACCAGUGCAAGUUUAAUCUGUUCCAAUAAAGUGUGCUGUAGGUGUUACAUAUCAAUGCAUGGGACGAUCGUUCUGUUGGUUA